UGGAAAUAGGAUCUAAAAUUCAGGAAAGUAGUCAAAAGAUUUAUGUAGCAAAUUGUACAAGUAGCAGGAGGAAACAAAUUAAAUGUAAAUAAAGAAUAGCUUACCUUCAGUACAGGAUUUUUCCUAAGAAGGCAGGCGAUAUGAACACAGUAUGUAUACUCGGUAGCCGCCUUUGAUGAAUUAACAACCUAACAACAACAGCAAAAGAACACAUUGGAUUCACAAAUCAUCUAUUCUAGCAAGCCAUGAAUCCAACAUUUGAAUGAUCUAUUGAGGACAAUGACAACAACAACAAAAGCACACAUUAGAACGCACACCACAAACUGAUACAUAGGGCUAAUUAGUUUACCCAAUCCAAUACACUUAAGUAAGUGUCAAAAAAUAUACUUCUCAGAUAGUAGUGUCAUACAACAAACUUCAGAAUUUAGUACAUCUCUGGAAUCGGGACAAAGUCUCAUUACCUCAAAUGGGCUUCAGUCUCAUUAUUCAUGGAUGAAUACUUCUAUAGCAUUGACGAUUAGUAUAAUAUUGAGUACCUGUCAGAUAGUAGUGUCGCAGAACAAAUGGUUGUUGUCUCUUUCCAAUCAAACGUAUGAGUAAAUUGCUUGAGAGAUACAGUUAGUUGCUUGCUCAACAACAAAAGGGAAACCAUAUGGCAUAGAGUCCGUUGCUUUCUCUGAAACAAAAGGAAACCAAAAAGAAAUUCAUCUCACAGCUUACUGCUUGAAUAAUCUUGAGAACAUGAGGAGCCUUUAGUGUGAAGAUCCUUCACAAGGGCCUACCGAAACAUACAAAGAUCAACAGCUCCAUCUACUGGAGAAAAGGUUCGAUGCAAAGGUCAUAUUAGUUCAUGGAGUAACAACAACAAUAAAGUUAUACAGUCCACUCGAUCCGAGUAACCACAAUAAUAACUAAUUUUGACGAAGAUCAAUUUCAGGUCUAAAAUUUCAAGCCUAAUGAAAAACAAAAUGCAAUAGACAUAACUGAAUAAUGGGUACAUGAUAGUAGGUUAAAUAAGCCCAUACAACUUGUGGUCUGUGGUAAUAAGAAUUAGAAUUCAAGCUCAUACAAGUAAAUAAAUAGAUUAUCAAAUAGCUAUAUUAGGUUACAGAGCAACAAUAGUGCUACCAUGAGGUUGCAGUGAGGAAUAGUGGAAAAGGAAUAAAAAAAUGUGUAAGCAUGAGAGCAAACUUCCUCCAAUAAUUUUUGUGCCAGUCACAUAGCAGGUGCAUUCCUGUUCUAAUUAAAUCAGAUAAUCAAUGAUGGAAUAAUCCCAUUAAAGGGUAUAGUUGCAUUAUUUUUCAUGUUUUUCUUCACCGCAAAGAUCAUAUAUCUGAGUGUAGCCUUUACAGCUAACUUUCAUCAGCUCCCAGACCGUCGUGGUAGGUUGUUGAUGAAAAUAACAGUAACACAAUCAUAUAUCUGAGUGUAGCCUUCACCGCAAGAAAAAUGUGUGAUGUAGUACAAUGGUGACACCAACGCCUCCUGGCUGUGCCCAGCUGCGGCAACUGCCACCGGACGGCGCCCCCAUCCAGGAGUACACAAGUUGCCCCACGCCAACCGAGAUCUUUCAAAUCUUCUCUAUCAUUGUCAUCGCAAAAGGACUUUCAUCAGUGGCUCGCUGACAAUCUCCCCCAAACCCUACAAGAGAUUCAAGUAAGUUUAAACUUCCAUUUUGCACAUGUGCAAUUGAGUCACUCACCUUGCUAGAUUAGGUCAGAUCUAUUACCCCUACCUAAGCCCUCCGAAUUAUGGUAUUUUCCUGUCCAGAUAAUGGAUCAACAAGCUUGUCCCUUCAUAUUGUCAAACACGGGCUGACUGGACCAUCUACUUUGGUCAUUCAAAUUAUAAAACACAAUCAUGAUGUUGAAAUCUCAUAUCAUUCCAUCACGUGAGCUUUUCCCAUUUUUUUUAAAAGAGCUUUUCUCAGUUUUGGACAAACUGAAUGACGGUGACGAUUUGUACAUUGUAGCUUUUCCUUUCAUAUGCUUCACUGGCUAGAUGGGAGAGCGCGCAGUGCCCCUAUGUUCAACCCCAAAAACCUUGAUUCAAGGUUUGUAGGUCAUAGUAGUUGUCAUCACUCGCAAGCUUGCUUGUACACUAUAAAAAGCUGCAUGACGAAGCACAUCAAGAGCAGCAAAGGUGCUGUCAAGUUGUUAUGCAUAUCAUAUGGCACAUGUAGGACAACAAAAUGACAGUCAUCAAGGAAAAUAUAUAAUUACCAAAAUCAACCCCAAAUCAGCACUCACAUCUCCAUCUAUGUAUCAGACUACUUGGAACUGAACUGAAUAUAAAGCAAGAUUUAAGUGUUGACCAUUAGUCCUUAAUGUCCCGUGUGUUCUCCAUCUUGCUCCUCACUUUACUGUCCUACUCUAGUUCGUAGUCUAAAUUUAGUUACUGGUUGCACUCACCUUUAAGUGAACACUAAAGUUUUAACAGGAUAAAUCACACAGAUAUAUCAUUACCUUAGUCAAUAGAGUCCUGGAACUGGGUCACAAGAUCCUGACAAAACUGACCGGAGUUUUAAUAGUUCUCUGAAACUUUUCAUGUCUAAUUUGCUACUACUCACAUUUCUUUCUUGGAUUAAAUAAGCCCCAUGAAAGCAGACCAUUUCUUGGGGUAUACGACUGAAAAGAAGGUUGUAAAAUUCAUCAAAAUCCUCUAGAACAAAACAGCAUCACAUACUUUUUGCGCAAGUAUUGUAAAAACAAGUAUUACCUGUCCUAGCCUUUCUUUCUCGACAGUCUCUGGCUUGUACUGAAAAAACAGUAUGACAUACUUUUUUACUCCUACAACUACCUUCAUGAUGAUCGGAAGAAAGUGUCGCAGACACUAUGCAUAUUUAUUUUGUUGGGUUGUGCAGAUCCAAUUGAGAAGUCCCUAAAGCUGGAAGGACUUGAGAGAAUUCAGUACACUAUUAUUAGGAGCCAACAAUUCCGUUUCAGAACACAAUUGCUAUAGAUAUAUGAUGCUAAAAAAUCCGUUCUUAAAAUAUCCUUCAUAUUUAAACUCGACAUAUCUAGAAAAUGAGAGCUUUGGCCUUCUUCUGAUAACAUGAAAGUAGCAGCUAGUAGCCAUGCUGCAACUCCAUAUUUUAGAUGCUUUCAGUGAAUACACAAGACAUGCAAGGACCGCUCACAGUUUCAGCGGCAAUGUGAGCAAAACAAGUCAGCAAGCACGUAAUGAUUUCCAGGCUGAGAAGAGUGUAGAUAGACGUGCAUAACAAGUAUUCCUAUAUACGACCCUUCACCACUUAUCUGCUUCUAAAACAAACCAUAUACUAAAAGCUAGAAUAUAGAUCACCAAAAUGUUGCGAUAAUUCUGAUUUUUGCAGUUGACAGAACAGUAUUAGUAGAUAGUAAGUAGUAUUGUUCUGGAAUUUAGUGAAACGAAAGCAUGAUUAGCAUAUCAAAAUACCGUAUUAAUCAACCCAUUGUAUCUGGAAGAAUAGGACGGCGACAAUGUCUCACGGGGUCAUCCAUGAUCGCAGUGGAUGUAAAUCGCUUGGUGGUCGGUGAUGAACUGGGCGAGAUGGAUGCACCCGAUGGACGUUUUGAGCACAGUACUUGACACAAUAGCCUUGAUCUUUGCGACCCCUCUUCAAAGCUGCCUUUCUAUCCUAAAAUCUCCUGAAAAAAAUCAAAAUCCGAGACAGAUGGUAGCCGGUGAGGGGAACUGACCACGUGCUACUGAAGUAAGCCUCUGCUUUUUAUGUUCCGAGAGGUCAAAUCUCCGGCUGGUUCUAGUGAUACUUAUCAGCCUAAAACUACUUGGUCACAUAUGGACAUGAAGUCCAACUGAUUGAGACAUCGCUAAAUAGUUCAAACUUUUUCACUAACGGUUUGUGACUAAUAAGUCAGUCACAUGUUAGUACUACACGGUGCAAAAAAAAGAAUUAUAGCAAUUGGAGUUCACUUGUUCCGUUUUUUAUCUAAGUAAUGAGAAACAAAUAGGAUCUGCUUUCUUGCUAAAAAUUCUUUAAGCAAGGGAUCAACAUAACUUCCGUCAAAUUCUAUGAAAUCAUAUGAUGCUAGAUAACAAUAACAGCAUCAAACUCUACAAAAUAAAUGCCUUGGCAUUUAAAAAAAUCCAUGAUGAGCUCAUUGAUGAGAAACAGACAAACACUAUGCCAAUAAAUAAUUACCACUACCUAAGCAUCAUUGAGCUACAUACUAUGACGCUCUUGUUUAUUCAGUAGAAGAGCAAGAAAAGUCUUCCUUUCAGCGUGAUAAUUGGAAAUAUUUCAGAUGCAGAAGAGUAGGAAAAGAAUGUAUCAAUGGAUGAACAGUUUCAAUAUGAAAAUACUUACUUGCAUUCUAAAGAUUAUUCAGUUUAUGGAACUUUAAAAAGUAAUAAAUGGCAAAAGCUUUUAUAUUGUCUUCAGAGGAUAAAACAACCAUGCAUGUUUGAACAAAGUUCAUAAUCAAGUUGUAAACCAGAUACCUUUCUAGUUGCAAUACCUCCUUCAGCAUCCUCUUUCUUGUUGUAGGAAAAAAUAAGCUUGAAUAAUGAUCCAAGAGCAAAGGCGUUGGGACUAUCAGUGCCACCCAUCAGCAGCACUGUCGACUUACAUUUCUUCCUUAUUGGACCAUCACAUACUAUGUUCUUCUUAACUAUCACCUACUCAAGGCAGUUGCAGAGCUUUGCAUAUAAUUUCAUAUUAUUUCAACAUAAAUAGCACAACUUAUCGAAUAAUCCAGUAUACAAAGAUAUGCACGAAUUUCAGCACAACACAAAGAUCUAAACUUCAUGCUUUUAUAAGGGUAGUAGUAGAUGAACACUAUAUCACUACAAUAACUGACAAUAGUAUCUGAAUUGUGGAGCACGACCACAAUGUUCAGAAAAGACGCAUGACAUUUACCUGAACAUGGAUAACCUGUUCAUCAAUCAAGAAGGCAUGUCUCUACAAAGAAUAAUAUUCAGUUUCACCAGUUAAAACUACUUCUUGCGUUUAACUGCAUUUCGCUCUAAUUGGCCUAACCUCAAAACUGAGGACAGAUCAGUCUACUGCUAUUGCAGCAAGCAAAAUGAAAUUUAUUCAAAGACACAAGAUGACAUAGAGAGCAAGCAUGACAUGGUGGAUAAAAUGCGACAGAUCGGUAGCCGGUACUCCCUCUGUAAACUAAAAUAAGAGCAUUUAGAUCACUAACAUAAAACUGGCUCAAUGUGACACGAAUUGCAACAGAUGUCAACACCUAUGAAGCUACACACGGGCAACUCCCAGUUCAUUGAAGUAUACCACAACUGUAUACAUACUGCUAAGGACAUACAGAGAUCAGAACUAAGAAUAGGAAGUGAUGGUAACCUGACUGUAGCUGCGACGGCGGCAGUUCCAAGACGGCCUAGGCGAGGCGGCGGAGAACCGGCAGGCGUCGUGGGGAGUGUGGCCGCGAAGGGGCCAGCGGUGGGGCGUCGUGGUCGCUGUUUGGGGAUGGCCUGAGUUGGGAGAGG
rnacentral:lncRNA from 1 species